GACGAACUCUGGCGGCGUGCUUAACACAUGCAAGUCGAACGAUGAAGCCUAGCUUGCUAGGUGGAUUAGUGGCGAACGGGUGAGUAAUACGUGAGUAACCUACCUUUAACUCUGGGAUAAGCCUGGGAAACUGGGUCUAAUACCGGAUACGACCAAUCUCCGCAUGGGGUGUUGGUGGAAAGCGUUAUGUAGUGGUUAUAGAUGGGCUCACGGCCUACCAGCUUGUUGGUGAGGUAACGGCUCACCAAGGCGACGACGGGUAGCCGGCCUGAGAGGGUGACCGGCCACACUGGGACUGAGACACGGCCCAGACUCCUACGGGAGGCAGCAGUGGGGAAUAUUGCACAAUGGGCGCAAGCCUGAUGCAGCGACGCCGCGUGAGGGAUGACGGCCUUCGGGUUGUAAACCUCUGUUAGCAGGGAAGAAGAGAGAUUGACGGUACCUGCAGAGAAAGCGCCGGCUAACUACGUGCCAGCAGCCGCGGUAAUACGUAGGGCGCGAGCGUUGUCCGGAAUUAUUGGGCGUAAAGAGCUUGUAGGCGGUUUGUCGCGUCUGCUGUGAAGGCCGGGGCUUAACUCCGUGUAUUGCAGUGGGUACGGGCAGACUAGAGUGCAGUAGGGGAGACUGGAAUUCCUGGUGUAGCGGUGGAAUGCGCAGAUAUCAGGAGGAACACCGAUGGCGAAGGCAGGUCUCUGGGCUGUAACUGACGCUGAGAAGCGAAAGCAUGGGGAGCGAACAGGAUUAGAUACCCUGGUAGUCCAUGCCGUAAACGUUGGGCACUAGGUGUGGGGGACAUUCCACGUUUUCCGCGCCGUAGCUAACGCAUUAAGUGCCCCGCCUGGGGAGUACGGCCGCAAGGCUAAAACUCAAAGAAAUUGACGGGGGCCCGCACAAGCGGCGGAGCAUGCGGAUUAAUUCGAUGCAACGCGAAGAACCUUACCAAGGCUUGACAUAUACUGGACCGCAUCAGAGAUGGUGUUUCCCUUCGGGGCUGGUAUACAGGUGGUGCAUGGUUGUCGUCGGCUCGUGUCGUGAGAUGUUGGGUUAAGUCCCGCAACGAGCGCAACCCUCGUUCUAUGUUGCCAGCACGUUAUGGUGGGGACUCAUAGGAGACUGCCGGGGUCAACUCGGAGGAAGGUGGGGAUGACGUCAAAUCAUCAUGCCCCUUAUGUCUUGGGCUUCACGCAUGCUACAAUGGCCGGUACAGAGGGUUGCGAUACUGUGAGGUGGAGCUAAUCCCUAAAAGCCGGUCUCAGUUCGGAUUGGGGUCUGCAACUCGACCCCAUGAAGUCGGAGUCGCUAGUAAUCGCAGAUCAGCAACGCUGCGGUGAAUACGUUCCCGGGCCU
rnacentral:rRNA from 1 species